GCUUUCCUAUGGCUCAGUCAGUAGAGCAUUCCACUAGCACUGCAAAGGUCAUGAGUUCAAACCCCAGGGAAAGCA